rnacentral:rRNA from 1 species
GACGAACGCUGGCGGCGUGCUUAACACAUGCAAGUCGAACGGAAAGGCCCUGCUUUUGUGGGGUGCUCGAGUGGCGAACGGGUGAGUAACACGUGAGUAACCUGCCCUUGACUUUGGGAUAACUUCAGGAAACUGGAGCUAAUACCGGAUAGGAGCUCCUGCUGCAUGGUGGGGGUUGGAAAGUUUCGGCGGUUGGGGAUGGACUCGCGGCUUAUCAGCUUGUUGGUGGGGUAGUGGCUUACCAAGGCUUUGACGGGUAGCCGGCCUGAGAGGGUGACCGGCCACAUUGGGACUGAGAUACGGCCCAGACUCCUACGGGAGGCAGCAGUGGGGAAUAUUGCACGAUGGGCGGAAGCCUGAUGCAGCAACGCCGCGUGCGGGAUGACGGCCUUCGGGUUGUAAACCGCUUUCGCCUGUGACGAAGCGUGAGUGACGGUAAUGGGUAAAGAAGCACCGGCUAACUACGUG